UGUCUGUCGGGCAAGGUAAACAUAGCCCCCAGGCAGGGGGAGGGGGGCGGGGGUCCCAGCAGCCACCGCUCCUGCCUGUUCUUUGACCCAAAGUUGUGAGCAGCUCACGGUUGUACGUGGGGAGCUCUAGACCCCAGAACCUGCUUGGGACCAGUGUCCACAGGCACUGACGGUUCAGGACACCUGGAGGGCCCGCAGCUGGCGCCCAGGAGCCCAGGCCAGUCGGGGCUCCAUCCCUGAAGGACUCAGCCCGGUGGAAGGACUAACCAGGGGCCUUGGCCUUGGGGUCCUUCCGCCUGAGAAGCCCCUGCGGUAGCUCUGGGCGGGGGUUGUGGCGGCUGCGGUCUUUUCCCCUGGCCGAGGCCGACUGCUCCCUGGACGGCGGUCACUUCCCUGAAAGCAGGAGGCGGAUCUCCUUGAGCUGCGAACGCCUGCGGGCCCUGCUCCCCCAGUUCGACGGCCGGCGGGAGGACAUGGCGUCCAUCCUGGAGAUGUCAGUGCAGUUCCUCCGGCUCGCCGGCGGCCCAGUGCCCGGCCGGGAGCAGCACGCCGUGAGUCCCCCGGCCCCCCGGCCCGCCCUCCGCAGGGGAGCCACACCUGCCCCCCCAGGCAGCUUUGACCGCCCAGCUGCCUGGCUUCGCUCUGCCCCUGUUCCUGCCCCACGGCCAGGGCCUGCAGUGCUCUCAGCAGCUGCUUCUCCGCUUGUGCACGUGUCCGGGAGCCCUGGAGACGCACUGUCACCUUCGCUCCUGUCCCUGGUACCCUGCCCGUGGUGACAAGGCUGUAUGGGUAAAAGUCCCAUUGUCUUGAGGCCACCCCCCAGUGGGCUCUGUCUUCAGCCUUCCUCCCGCCAGGCUCGAGGACAGGGUUUGCGCUCAGGGUGGACCUCCCGGACCCUGGCCACUCUGGGACCCCCGGUGGAGGGACCAGCGACGGGCCACAGUCCGCGUUUUUGUGGGUCUUUUGGUUCACAGCCUCUGUCACGUGUUUUGUGUUCAUCUUCCUUUUAGGUUUUUGGUUCCUCCAAGGAGAUGUGGCACAAGUGGCCGAAGGAUGUUUUGCAGCUGGCCCUGGGGAAUCAGGUCCCAGCAGGUGCAGCAGACCUCGACGUGGAAAUAGCCAGCGUGACCAUGUCAGUGUCCCCUGUGGGGCUGGGGGUCGUGGGGGUGGCGGGUGCAGACCGCUCAGCCCUCCCGUCUUCACACUACUCAGGCAACAGACUCCUCUGAGCUGUGCAGCUGCGGGUGUGGACGAGGGCCAGGUGCAGGACGGGCUGCCGGUCCUCUCUGAGCCUGCCAGCCUGCUGCCCCGGUCCCCAGGCCGGCAUCCCUGCAAGGCCCUGAGGCUGUCCCCAGUGUGGCCUCCCUGCUCGCGGCAGCCACCCUCCCCCCUGGUGAGCGAGGAGCCUCAGAGCUGCCUGGGCCAGGUUGGGCCCCCAGCGCAGGAGAGUGACGUGGCUGUGACGCCGGGCUCCAGGUGGGUGCCCCGUGGGGUGUGCACGUGGGUGCCUGCGGCUCACGGGCCGCCCGCACCCUGCCUGGGCCGGCUGCCCUUCGCGUCCUCCGUGUCGGCUGGCUCAGCCUGGCUCUGCCGGCUGGCUUUCUGAUGUGUGUUUCUGCAAGUCUGUUGUCUCCCUAAUUGUCUUCU
rnacentral:lncRNA from 1 species